rnacentral:tRNA from 1 species
AAUAAGAUGCCUGAAUAAAAGGAUUAUUUUGAUAGAAUAAAUCAUGUGAUUUUUCACUCUUAUUA